rnacentral:rRNA from 1 species
GACGAACGCUGGCGGCGUGCUUAACACAUGCAAGUCGUACGGUAAGGCCCUUUCGGGGGUACACGGGUGGCGAACGGGUGAGUAACACGUGAGUAACCUGCCCACAACUUUGGGAUAACGCUAGGAAACUGGUGCUAAUACUGGAUAUGUUCUCCUGCUGCAUGGUGGGGGUUGGAAAGCUCCGGCGGUUGUGGAUGGACUCGCGGCCUAUCAGCUUGUUGGUGGGGUAGUGGCCUACCAAGGCGGCGACGGGUAGCCGGCCUGAGAGGGUGACCGGCCACAUUGGGACUGAGAUACGGCCCAGACUCCUACGGGAGGCAGCAGUGGGGAAUAUUGCACAAUGGGCGCAAGCCUGAUGCAGCAACGCCGCGGGCGGGAUGACGGCCUUCGGGUUGGAAACCGCUUUCAGCAGGGACGAAGCUUUUUGUGACGGUACCUGCAGAAGAAGCACCGGCUAACUACGUG